AAGCCGUGAGGCCAAGCAAAGCCCAAAAAUAGGCGUCUCAGUUCGGAUUGUAGUCUGCAACUCGACUACAUGAAGCUGGAAUCGCUAGUAAUCGCGAAUCAGAAUGUCGCGGUGAAUACGUUCCCGGGCCUUGUACACACCGCCCGUCACACCAUGGGAGUUGGUAACGCCCGAAGUCAGUGACUCAACCGAAAGGGGAGAGCUGCCGAAGGCGGGACUGAUAACUGGGGUGAAGUCGUAACAAGGUAUC
rnacentral:rRNA from 1 species